GCCUACGGGGGGCAGCAGUGGGGAAUAUUGCACAAUGGGGGGAACCCUGAUGCAGCGACGCCGCGUGAGUGAAGAAGUAUUUCGGUAUGUAAAGCUCUAUCAGCAGGGAAGAAAAUGACGGUACCUGUCGAAUAAGCCACGGCUAACUACGUGCCAGCAGCCGCGGUAAUACGUAGGUGGCAAGCGUUGUCCGGAUUUACUGGGUGUAGAGGGCGUGUAGCCGGGCUGACAAGUCAGAUGUGAAAUCCGGGGGCUCAACCCCCGAACUGCAUUUGAAACUGUUGGUCUUGAGUAUCGGAGAGGCG
rnacentral:rRNA from 1 species